UCAAACUUGGUCAUUUAGAGGAAGUAAAAGUCGUAACAAGGUUUCCGUAGGUGAACCUGCGGAAGGAUCAUUAUCGAAUUGUAAGGACUUUGGUUGUCGCUGGCCCUCUUGGGGGCAUGUGCACGCCGGGUUCAAACUCUUCAUUCAUUAAUCUACUGUGCACCUUUUGUGGACCAUCGAUGGAUGACUUGUCGAGCUAACCCCUCGGUCUUGUGGUUUGCGCCUCAUCCGCGCUUUCCGCUCCGUCUGUCUGUGUGGUUCAUGUCUUUAUUACAAACUAUAUAAUAAAUCUAGAAUGCUUAACAGUUGGGACUUGAGUGACCCUUCUUAAACUUAUACAACUUUCAACAACGGAUCUCUUGGCUCUCGCAUCGAUGAAGAACGCAGC
rnacentral:misc_RNA from 1 species